GACGCACUUUGGGUACCACUAUCAGUACUCUUGUGUUUCCUACCUUUAUCACAACCAAAUAUUAAUUUGUUAAUUCUCCCUCUCUUCCCUGUUUCAGUAUCUGAACGACUGAUAAUAACAGUUACUUUAUUAUCGAUUCCAACCUCUUUAAUCCAUCUGAUAACCUCUUCUCGUGUACCAAAUCUUUCGAUCGUUAUAAACGCAUCAGUAGUAUCUACACAUAUUUGGGGAAGAUUUU
rnacentral:lncRNA from 1 species